GUCCGGUCUCCAUGGCAUCUCCUGACGUCAAUGGCCUGGAAUAUUCUCAGAUCCAGUUCCAGAAGCUCAGUUCCUUUGAAGAUUGAAGAAGAAGCCAAGUGUCUUGCUGGAAGAGAACCUUAACCAGCGCAAACCUUCCACCGUGUUGCAGAAUCAUCGCGCGCCUUCCACCGUGUUGCAGAAUCAUCGCGAGCCUUCCACCGUGUUGCAGAACCUUCGAAAACCUUCCACUGUGUUGCAGAACCAUCGCAACCUUUCCAGCGGAGCAGCGCGAGGAUUUUCCAGUCAUGGAAGGAAAGAGAUAGAGAUGGAUCAUCGGAAGCAGUGCAGGCUGCAUGAGUCUAUUGUAAGUUAAAACUGUACUUCUGUAUGUUCAUCUUAAUAUCUGUAGCUAGCUUGUUGCGUGUGUUGCAGCUAUUGAUUAGAUUGUUCACUCUGGCCUUGAGCGUACCGGUGUUGUUUGCUUUUUGUUGAGCGUGGACUUUUCUGGUUGGUGAUUAUUUUGCCCUUGUAUUCCUGGUGUUUUAAGUGUGGCCCCUUCUUGACUGUGAGGUGUGUAGGUCAUGCAGCUUAAUAGAUACAUACUUGCCAGCAAGCGCACGUUGAAUGCAUGUAUGCAUGUCUAAACUCGUGUUGGUGUUGCGCUUAUAAUUUGUUUUUCAUGUACGCGUGGCUAAGAGUCUAUUACCUGCAUGGCCUUGAACCCUUGGUGGGGGGGGGGGGGGUGUCCGUAGCACUCAAGUAAUCAAUCAGAAUGUGUGUGGAAGGUUCUUCAACAGUCGGGUCGCAGGACAGCAUCUUCUUGUUCUUGGAACCGUUGUUGAACCAGCCUUCGGGGUGCAAUGAUGGAUUACUCAUGGCACUCCAGUCUAUUGAGGGAGCACUCUGCUGUUAGUACCUGCCUAAAGGGAAAGCAGCACAGGAUCCUGCCAUAAUUGGGAGUGUUAAGAUCUCGUUAUCAGUUCCAAUAGUUAGUUAGCUAGCUAGGAUCAUUAGAAAUAGCUAGCUAUAAUAUAGUUGGACAACUGCUGCUUCUUGGCUUAUGCUAAUCUGUUAUAACGGCUUUUUAGGAUCUUAACUCUGUGCCUACUGCACAUGGAAUUGGUAAGUUCAGGCUUUAACUAAACUAUAGGUGUGCCAAGGGAACUGUAGCCUUUGACUGGAUUAGUGAAGAGUAGUCUUGAGCACUUGUGCAAGCCUUGCGUGCCAGGCUUGUUGCAACUGGAGUCGACAAGGGCUUCAAGAGCAAGGAGGUGUUGUCUCUGUGAGUCUACUGUUGUUGAACCAUCCCACACAUUCUGGUUGAUUACUUCUGUGCUCAGUUAAUGGUACUCACAGUCACAGGGUCCCUUUAGUUUAUUAUGCCCUUAUUGUAUUAGUCCCUUGGGCAAGGAAACUACUGGUAGUGGUCCUGUGAUUGGUCGAUUUGAUUGGUUGUUGUGGUGGGUUUAUUAUGGGAAGUUCUGUCUCUUCUCUGCACAGUUGGUUUGACAUGAUGUUUGUAUUUGUCUGGUAUUGUGUUGAUUAUGAUUAUCUGGUGGUCUUGUGGUGCAGUCUUGCAUGGUUGUAGAAUUGAUUGGUCAUCUCUUCUCUGCACAACAACACUGCAUGUUUGAAAUUGGAUUGUGGGAGUAUUGGUAAUAAUUAUAUUGUGAUGACAAUGUCAGCUGUGGUGGUGAUUGGCUGGUAUUGUAUUGUGUUGAGUGGAUGGUUUUGUUUGAACUGCUGUGCUCAAUGUAACCAUGCAUGCAUUUGCUUGUUCUCUUGCAACCACAAUGCACACAGCUCCUCCUACUAGCUACUGUACUAGUGUGUUAUUCUCUCACUGUUUUUGUUUCCUCUCUCCCCCAGGUACGGACAAGCCAUGCUGCUCUGGGACCCAGGGAGGAUUACUAACCUGAUCAAUGACUGCAUGUUCUGUUUGCAGGUAUUGGAGGGGGCGGGGCUUGACUGUACGCCCCCACAUCUCUUUUUAGGGGGUGGGGCUCGGAUCUCAUCGCCCACUACUAUACUAUCAUUGUGUUCAUUACAAAGUAGACUAUGAGAGGUGGUGUGUGCAGGUGGAUUGUCUCUGCAUGUAUGUAUGGAGAUGAGUAUGGCUGGCUACAUGUACAGUGUCUCAUGCAUUCUAUGAUGUAUAGGUUGAUGUCUGCACAACAACAAAAGAUACGUAGCUUCUUUGAGGGGCCACCGCAUCUAUACACAACAGAUAAGUACCUAGCUAUGUAUUAUGUUGUGUGGCAUGUCUUUCAUGCUCUGUGUGUAGGUUCAUUAAUUGCUGUGGAGCCACUGUAACAGCAUAUGCAAACAGAUAAGUAGCUAGCUAUGUUGUGUGGUUUAUGAUCCCUGUGUAGGUAGAUGACGUGUGGAGGAGCCACCUUAACAGCAUACACAGAUGAGUAGCUAGCUAGCUAUGUUGUGUGGCAAGUCUUUUAUGCUCCCUGUGUAGGUUGAUCACUUCUGGAGGAGUACACACAGAUAAGCUAGUAGCUAUGUUGCAUGGAAAGUCUUUUAUGCUCCCUGUGUAGGUUGAUUGCGUGUGGAGGAGCCACUGUAACAGCUAACACACAGAUGAGUAGCUAGCUAUGUUGUGUGGCAAGUUUUUUAUGCUCCCUGUGUAGGUUGAUGCCGAGUAUGCACAAGGCAGGCAGAGUCUGGCACGAACAAGCACUUAACUCUGUUAUAACAUUAUACUUGUUUUUUAACAAUAUUGUUAUAUUUGUUUGUCUCUAGGAGCUAGUGGAAUAAUAACUACAAUCAAUUAUUGUA